rnacentral:rRNA from 1 species
UACGGAGUUAGCCGGUGCUUAUUCGUAUAGUACCUUCAGCUUUCCACACGUGGAAAGGUUUAUCCCUAUACAAAAGAAGUUUACAACCCAUAGGGCCGUCGUCCUUCACGCGGGAUGGCUGGAUCAGGCUCUCACCCAUUGUCCAAUAUUCCUCACUGCUGCCUCCCGUAGGAGUCUGGUCCGUGUCUCAGUACCAGUGUGGGGGAUCACCCUCUCAGGCCCCCUAAAGAUCACUGACUUGGUAGGCCGUUACCCUACCAACUAUCUAAUCUUGCGCGUGCCCAUCUCUAUCCACCGGAGUUUUCAAUAUCAAAUGAUGCCACUUAAUAUAUUAUGGGGUAUUAAUCUUCCUUUCGAAAGGCUAUCCCCUGAUAAAGGCAGGUUGCACACGUGUUCCGCACCCGUACGCCGCUCUCAAGAUCCCGAAAGAUCUCUACCGCUCGGCUUGCAUGUGUUAAGCCUCCGCUAGCGUUCAUCCUGAGCCAGGAUCAAACUCU